rnacentral:snRNA from 1 species
AUACUUACCUGGACGGGGUCAAUGGUUGAUCAGUAAGGAUCAUGGCCUAGAUUGGUAACCUCCAUUGCACUUAGGAGGGGUGCUAAUUUAACAUCUCCCCAAGUGGGAGAGUGUACGUCAUAAUUUGUUACUUUGGGGGUACGCGUUCGCGCGGCCCCUG